rnacentral:rRNA from 1 species
UGGGGAAUAUUGGACAAUGGGGGGAACCCUGAUCCAGCCAUGCCGCGUGUGUGAAGAAGGCCUUAUGGUUGUAAAGCACUUUAAGCGAGGAGGAGGGUACUGGUAUUAAUACUACCAGGUACUGGACGUUACUCGCAGAAUAAGCACCGGCUAACUCUGUGCCAGCAGCCGCGGUAAUACAGAGGGUGCGAGCGUUAAUCGGAUUUACUGGGCGUAAAGCGUGCGUAGGCGGCUAAUUGAGUCGGAUGUGAAAUCCCCGAGCUUAACUUGGGAAUGGCAUUCGAUACUGGUUAGCUAGAGUGUGGGAGAGGAUGGUAGAAUUCCAGGUGUAGCGGUGAAAUGCGUAGAGAUCUGGAGGAAUACCGAUGGCGAAGGCAGCCAUCUGGCCUAACACUGACGCUGAGGUACGAAAGCAUGGGGAGCAAACAGG